CUCAAACAAGAAUGUGUCCUCAGUACACGAAUGCCCCACUCGCACUAUCAUUUUCCAUGUUCAGUGGACCGUGAAAUUGGGGUAAAAACUCUAAUUUGGCAUUAAAAUUAGAAAGAUCAUAUCAUAGGGGACAUGUGUACUAAGUUUGAAGUCGAUUGGACUUAAACUUCAUCAAAAACUACCUUGACCAAAAACUUUAACCUGAAGCGGGACAGACGGACGAACGGACGGACGAACGAACGGACAGACGGACGACGGACGGACAGACCAGAAAACAUAAUGCCCCUCUACUAUCGUAGGUGGGGCAUAAAAAUGUUUGAAGAAAUUUUCUUUUUUAUUUAUGAAAUUUCAAAUGAGA
rnacentral:lncRNA from 1 species